ACGGGUGAGUAACGCGUGGGCAACCUGCCCUCUAGCCUGGGAUAACAGCGCGAAAGUGCUGCUAACACCGGAUAUGCUCACAGGGAGACAUCUCCCGGUGAGGAAAGUUUACACUAGAGGAUGGGCCCGCGUCCCAUUAGCUAGUUGGUGAGGUAACGGCUCACCAAGGCGACGAUGGGUAGCCGACCUGAGAGGGUGAUCGGCCACACUGGGACUGAGACACGGCCCAGACUCCUACGGGAGGCAGCAGUAGGGAAUUUUCCGCAAUGGGCGAAAGCCUGACGGAGCAACGCCGCGUGAGGGAUGAAGGUUUUCGGAUCGUAAACCUCUGUCAUCAGGGACGAUAAUGACGGUACCUGAUGAGGAAGCCACGGCUAACCACGUGCCAGCAGCCGCGGUAAUACGUAGGUGGCGAGCGUUGUCCGGAAUUACUGGGCGUAAAGGGCGUGUAGGCGGCCUUUUAAGUCAGAUGUGAAAUCUCAGGGCUUAACCCUGAAACUGCAUUUGAAACUGGAGGGCUUGAGGAUCGGAGAGGGCAGUGGAAUUCCCAGUGUAGCGGUGAUAUGCGUAGA
rnacentral:rRNA from 1 species